GCAGAUGAAUCACCCCAUUUCAGAUCUCACUUCUCUCCAUUUCCAGCUGUGUGUCCAUGGACGAAACACGGAAUUUUGGGGAGAAUUUAUUUUCCAUCUUUAAAAUGGGAGCAAUAGGAAUGUGCACCUGUCAGCGUUUCUGGGAAGAUGUGAAGAGAUUGUGUCAGGAAACACGCCUAGAGUGUUGGCUGGCACAGAGAAAACAGUUACUAAAUAGAAUUAUUGCUAUUUUUAUUGUUGGUUUGUGCAGAGCAGAAAGGGAGGAACUUUACUGUUAGUGCCCUAAGCUUUAUUCCUGCCGCAGAACUGUAGUUUCUGGUUAUCGAGAGGCCUGGAAGGAAAGAGGAAAUGGAUAGCUCAGUGAAGCCACCCCCUCCCUGGGAGGGGAGCCACCUGAAGCCCAGAGGAAUGGGGCUACUUGCCCAAACAAACACAGCAGUUUGGUGACACAGCCAGGCUUCCAGCUCAGGUCUCAGCUGGCCAAUCCCUCUCCCUCUGCUGGCGGCUACUCUUGAGAGAAGAGGCAACUGACCGAAGGUUGCCUCUGUGGUGAGGCAGGGCUGCAAGCUCCUGGUGCGUGGCCACCUCUGAGCUGUCAUGUGACACCUUCACCAUCCAGGAAGGGCAACUCUGAGCUGGCUGCAGAUCUGGGAAGGAGCCACCGCCUCGCUUCCACUCCCCAUCAAUCUGUGUGAGAAGGAGGCAGCAUCCUGCAGUCCAUCGUGCCUCAGGGCAGCUCUGGAGUUGCCAGUGCAGUGCCCAGUCUAGUGCUGCGACCUUGGCUUGCCUAUGCCUCAGUUUCCCUGCGUGUCCCACGGAGAUAAUGCAAGCAGUGUACUUUGUUCACGGGGCUGUUGGAAGGCGCGUCAGGCGCAGACAAUGCUGUUUGGUACCUCUGAAGGGCUCACCAAAGCAGUGAUGGGGGUACUCAAGAAUUCUUGCAAAGUGAGAAAAUCUAACCGGCACAUCGUUUCCAAGUAUAAUGAAAUUUUUAUGAAUUUUUAUGAAUACUAAAUGAAACCAUUAAUGUGGUUGAUGUAAUAUUUUGU